GAACAUUUAUUUCUACAUCAAGUGGGAUUUCGGGCCUCGCAGAUGUGCCCGAGUUUCUCCCCUACUGAGGGGCCCAGCAGAGCCAGGAAAGGUGAAGAGGGAGUUCAGCCCUCAUGAGCGUGUCCAAGGCGAUCUCUUCACAUAGGACCCAGAGAGGGGACCGACCAGCCAAAUUAGGGGACAGUGAGGCUUGGAGCAGGUGGCGCUGUUGCCGUUUGGAAACAGGGCUGGUGGGAAAGGGCCGCCCCACUGGAUCGAAGUUGCCGUAGUAGUCCAGUUCCCAGCCCUCCAGAUGGGAAGGAGUGACUUUAUUGUUCCCUAGAGCUAUGCCAGCUCCGUUGCUAAGUCUUCUGGAAACUUCUAGGAUAUGCUAACUCACAGGCCUAAGGAUUAUUAAAAUAACCCAAGAUGCUGAGGAACAGUCAUAUGAAAGCCAGCCCCGCUUGGAACUCCCAGACCCGUCAUCCUCACCAAGGGCUACUUCAUGUCCCCUCCUGGCCCCACCGGAGGACCUUCGACAGGGAUGGCAAAGCGACCCACAGAGCAAGUGCAGCCCUCCAGCCGGUUUCUGCAAAUAAAGUUUUAUUGGCACGCUGA